CUACGGGCGGCUCCAAUGGGGAAUCUUAGACAAUGGGCGCAAGCCUGAUCUAGCCAUGCCGCGUGAGUGACGAAGGCCUUAGGGUCGUAAAGCUCUUUCGCUGGGGAAGAUAAUGACGGUACCCAGUAAAGAAACCCCGGCUAACUCCGUGCCAGCAGCCGCGGUAAUACGGAGGGGGUUAGCGUUGUUCGGAAUUACUGGGCGUAAAGCGCGCGUAGGCGGAUCAGAAAGUUGGGGGUGAAAUCCCGGGGCUCAACCCCGGAACUGCCUUCAAAACUCCUGGUCUUGAGUUCGAGAGAGGUGAGUGGAAUUCCGAGUGUAGAGGUGAAAUUCGUAGAUAUUCGGAGGAACACCAGUGGCGAAGGCGGCUCACUGGCUCGAUACUGACGCUGAGGUGCGAAAGCGUGGGGAGCAAACAGGAUUAGAUACCCGUGUAGUC
rnacentral:rRNA from 1 species